GCUGAGUAUAGCCAGGUUAAACACGUUAAGGAUGAACCAAGUAUUCCGGCCUUUCGAGCCGGAGACCCGGGUUCAAAUCCCGGCCGGAGCACCA
rnacentral:tRNA from 1 species